AUGUAUUGAGUUUGUUGGUUUUGUAUGGUUAUCUUAUCAGCGUAACAUCUGAUAGAUCCUCUAUCGGAGGACAACAAAUGUUAAACUGAUUUUUGGAAAUGGGCGGAUUUUUGGAAAUGGGCGGAGUGUUUUAAGGGCUUGGUCCACCUCUGCCACGGGUUGGCCCGGUAUUGCAGUACCGCCGGGAUUUUGGCCUUGAAUAA